GGGGCUGUGGUUCAGUGGUAGAGCGCUUGCCUAGUGUGUAUGAGGCCCUGGGUUCAAUUCUUAGCACCA
rnacentral:tRNA from 1 species